rnacentral:misc_RNA from 1 species
GCUAUAUAUAUUUAUUUAGAAUGCUGAAAAGUACAAUCUUUAAUUUUAUAGAUUACUAAUUAAUUAGUAGCUUAAUCAAACAUAAACAGAGAGAUUAAAUUGUCCUUCAAGUUCUUGAAACCAAUGCUCUUUCUGCACCAUCAAGAUUCAGAACUGCUGAUAUUCUAUGUUAACAGAAGAUGCAGAAGGGUUAGCAAUCUUAGCAAAUGCAGUAUCAGAAAGGAUAAUGGUUGCACCAUUGGAUGAAGGUCUAGAAACAGAGCUUGCUGCUCUAUCAACUAUCUUAAUCCGAAUAGUCUCCCCUGGAUUACAAGUUCUUGGAACAACUGCACUAAUGCACCUCACCAAGUACUGUCUCCCACAGGCCGCCCCAUUGUCCCAUAUUCCCUCUGAGGCCGCAGCGAACAGGUUGUUUGAUGGGAACUGCGACGCAUCAUUCCCAUAACAAGCAGUUGGUAAAUAUGGAGGACUGUAGUGGGCAGCAGUGCCAACAUCACCAUAUGAGAGAUGCAAAAGGCUUGCUAAUGAUAAGAAGAGGAAUAGAUAUGGAGAGAGUUGGUGAAGAGCUUUAGGCAUUUUCUUCCUGCAAUAAGGAAAUCAAACCAACCUCUACAUAAUAAAAUAAAUAUUUGCUAUUAAAUAUUGCGUUGGAUACAAUGUGAAAGAAUGCUCAAUAGUCAAUAUCAGGUUCCAGCAAAUGAAAUUAUAAUAACUGUAAACCAGUAUUUCAUUAAAUUAUCGGUUUAAAUCACACAACCAAGAGUAACUUUUAUAAUUAUCACGAAUUUGGAUUUCCCAAAUGAAUAAUUAAUAUGUUUUUUGCCAAGAAAUUAAGCUAGGCUAUGUAUUCUUUUUUCAAUAUUAUAUUUAACCUUGUUAAAAUAUCGAAUUAAUUUUGGAAUACAGAUGGACGGGCAUGUGAAUCCAAAGUGAAAAUGUUAAUAUAGGGAAGGUGUUUUUGAGUAUUACUAUAAAAUCAGGACAUGGGUUAACUUCCAUGAAGUCGGCAAUGGGUAUCUAAUUCCGGUGCUGAAUAAGACGCGGUGUUGCCGUCCUCGUAAAUGCAUGCGUCUCUAUCCCUCAUUAUAAUUAUACCACUAACAAGGGGUGAGAGUGGGAGAUUGCUAUGUGCACUUGUUUUUUAUGGAAAAUUCUAAAUUCUAAUGAUUUGUGAUUAUGAGAGAGAUUAUUACUACGAGAGAAGGGUUUUUCAAACUAGCGUUUUUAGGGUACCCGAUUAUAUUAACAAGGUGCACUUUUUUGAUCCCAAGGAGUUGGUUCAAACCUAAGAGGCCUUAGUUUUGAAUUCCGACCUUUUAGUGAGAUGGCAUAUAUACCUCUAAUUAAUCUCAUUUAUUAAAGCAUUCUAAAUGAGAUUACCUUUUCCUUAAUGGUUUGCACAUAUAUAUAUAGUAUAUAUAUGCAUGCGCUUGGCCAAUCAUAAUACAUCAACAUAACAAUUAAAUAAUUUUGAUAUUUUAAUUUAAAUCACAAUAAAUAAACUAAAAUUAUUAGAGAUUAAUAGAAAAUUUGAGAGCUAAACUUUUUUUCUAAAUAUUUAAAUAAGUCAAUAAAAAAAAUUUAAGAAAUCAAUUAACAAAAGAUUAAAUUUUUUACAUCUACUAAAAAACCCUUACAAAUGGUUGGAGGGGGG